ACACCGGCCGCUCAAGUGGUAGCCGCUUUUAUUGGGCCUAAAGCGUCCGUAGCCGGUCUGAUAAGUCUCUGGUGAAAUCCCGCAGCUUAACUGUGGGAAUUGCUGGAGAUACUAUCAUGACUCGAGGUCGGGAGAGGCUGGAGGUACUCCCAGGGUAGGGGUGAAAUCCUGUAAUCCUGGGAGGACCACCUGUGGCGAAGGCGUCCAGCUGGAACGAACCUGACGGUGAGGGACGAAAGCCAGGGGCGCGAACCGGAUUAGAUACCCGGGUAGUCCUGGCCGUAAACGAUGUGGACUUGGUGUUGGGAUGGCUUCGAGCUGCCCCAGUGCCGAAGGGAAGAUGUUAAGUCCACCGCCUGGGAAGUACGGCCGCAAGGCUGAAACUUAAAGGAAUUGGCGGGG
rnacentral:rRNA from 1 species